rnacentral:rRNA from 1 species
GACGAACGCUGGCGGCGUGCUUAACACAUGCAAGUCGAACGGAAAGGCCCUGCUUUUGUGGGGUGCUCGAGUGGCGAACGGGUGAGUAACCCGUGAGUAACCUGCCCUUGAUUUUGGGAUAACUUCAGGAAACUGGGGCUAAUACCGGAUUGGAGCUCCUGCUGCAUGGUGGGGGUUGGAAAGUUUCGGCGGUUGGGGAUGGACUCGCGGCUUAUCAGCUUGUUGGUGGGGUAGUGGCUUACCAAGGCUUUGACUGGUGGCCGGCCUGAGAGGGUGACCGGCCACAUUGGGACUGAGAUACGGCCCAGACUCCAACGUGAGGCAGCAGUGGGGAAUAUUGCACAAUGGGCGGAAGCCUGAUGCAGCAACGCCGCGUGCGGGAUGACGGCCUUCGGGUUGUAAACCGCUUUCGCCUGUGACGAAGCGUGAGUGACGGUAAUGGGUAAAGAAGCACCGGCUAACUACGUG